ACCACUUCUUGGCCUUUUGGCUAACAUCAAGUGUAGUAUCUGUUCUUAUCAGUUUAAUACAUAUUUUUUUAGAAACAGGGUCUGGCUGUUGCCCAGGUUGGCCUCAAAUUCCUAGGCACAAUCAAUCCUCC
ensembl:snRNA U2 U2 spliceosomal RNA